UACGUAGGGGGCUAGCGUUGUCCGGAAUCAUUGGGCGUAAAGAGCGUGUAGGCGGUCCGGUAAGUCCGCUGUGAAAGUCGGGGGCUCAACCCUCGAAUGCCGGUGGAUACUGUCGGGCUAGAGUACGGAAGAGGCGAGUGGAAUUCCUGGUGUAGCGGUGAAAUGCGCAGAUAUCAGGAGGAACACCUAUUGCGAAGGCAGCUCGCUGGGACGUAACUGACGCUGAGACGCGAAAGCGUGGGAGCAACAGG
rnacentral:rRNA from 1 species